rnacentral:lncRNA from 1 species
AUGUUUUGCAAAGGGGUAGUGACUCCACUAUGCUGUGCAAACAGAAGACAGCCCAGCAACCUUUUCCUAUAUGCAUUGCUCACUUCUAGAGCAUUUCUACGCAAGGAGGAAAAUGCUCUUAGAAAGAUCAAACAUUCCCUAAAGUGUGGUAGAAGGCAGGAAGAAUGACACUUGCUAAUUUGAAUUUCAGAACACACCUAAACCGCAUUCUGAUCUCCAGCUGGAGGUAUCUGGUGUGGUGCAGAUGCUCGUGGCAGGAUGAGCUCCUCAUCUGAAGCUGAGGGUGAAGUUUUCAAGAAGUACAUGUGGUUAAAAAAAAGAACUUGAAGGAAAGCAAAUGAGACAUGAGGACUGAUAUUCUGGAAGGAGAAGGAAUGAUCCCGAUUAAUUUUAUUUUAACAUAUUUAUCUCUGGUUCCCUGUAAAAUAAUACUAAAAUAAUAAAAUAUUGUUAAUUACCA